CAAAGGCAAAAACCUCUGGAAGAAGCUGUUGAAACCCCCUUAGCAUUUUCCUAUAAAUACAGCCUUCCGGGGCUGUUUUAGAUAAGUUUUUGAAGGCUGAAAAUUCCCUUUGAAAUAGGCUGCGAAUUUGAGAAAAAACUUAUUUUUACUUUAAAGUUCUUCUUACUCUCGGGAAAAAUCCUCUUAACUCUAAGUUCUCGUUGGUUGUCAAAAUCUUCUUUCAAGUUCUCGACUCAACAACAAGCUUUUUAAGCGGAUUCAGAGACUCGACAACGACAAGCCUCAGUUCGCUGUCCCGAAAAAGGUAACCGCUCUUGUCUUGAUCUAAUUUUCAAUUUUGGUAGCCACUUGAAUGUGAUCGACUGUCGUUUAAGUUUCUGUUAAGCUUAUGUUAGAAUUGGUUGUUCUUUUGGCCGAGAUGUAAGAAAACCAAUGUGUCGGAAAAGCAAAUGUGACUUACGGAAAAACUACAAAUUUGAUGAAAACAAAAUAUGGAAUAGGUGACUUGAUCAGGUGGUUGUUUUAUUCACAGUCACUGCAUGUUUAUCAUCAUAACUAAUGUGUUAAGAUGCAUUAUGAUUUUAAAUAAAAGUAUGAACCUGCCUAGAGUAAAACUACAUGCUUAUAUGGUAUUCUUAUAACAGGGACUGCUUCAUGUUGGUAUGGACCUGUUCUAGUUUUUUUUAGAUUCACAUUAGGUUGGGCUGCUAUAAUUUCAUGACCGCUAAGUGUAUGUUUAGCCUAAUGGUUACCCCGUUUACUUGAAUGUUGUCAUCUUUCGUCUUGAUUUUCUAUUUCAAAAUAUGUGUUUGGAGUCUGCAAGUCUUGUUUGUCUCGUUUAGUUUUCUUUGCAAUGUGCGUUUCAAUCGGCGUCCUUGUUCUUGCUGGAUAUAAAUCAGUUUGCGAAGGUUAAAAAAUAAAUGAGGAGCAUUUAGGGAAGCUAUUGAAUAUGUGUUUAACUUUGUCACCCAUUCAGGGAUAUCCUCAAAUGACUAUUUUUGGGCUAAAAAUCUUCUCUGCUAAAUUAUCAUUUUUAUGGAAAUAUAGUAUCUUGAUCUUAGUUUUCUAACAAUAUAAGACUAGAAUAUUUGCUUCUGUCUAUAAAAUCUUCAUCUAACAGUUAAGGAGUCUCAAUUUGUGAUUAUUGAAAGAUCUGUCUAAAAAAAAAAAUGGUCCUCCGACUUAAGCUUUUGUUUAAACUUUAAAGUCCUCCGAAGUCCUAGAUUCUGGCUUUGUAUAUAUAUUGGUUCUAAACUCUCAGUAAUUGAGCUUUUGUCAAUCUCUCUAGUACUUUUAAGUCUUAAAAGAAUUAUGGAGCCUCUUAAAACCAAGACAAUGUGCUGCUACAUUCGGCGAUAACUCAAAGCCUGAAUCUUCUUUUGUGAUAAGUAUUUGGUGUGCUUCUUUUGUCGUUUGGGUCCUGUGGAUCAACUAUCUUAUUUGCUGCUAUGUAUGCUCCUUUUAGAGUAAAUAGAAAUCUGUUUGGACGGUUUAGAUGUCAUGUGCAAAGUUUCCAUGGGAAUAUAUCGAAGUAGUUUCUUCUCAAGAUUGUUUGUGUUGACUUAAUAAUUUGAGGAAUAUGUGCUCGGAUCCAGUGUCCUAAAAAAUGUGAUUUUAUCUAGGAAACUUACCCUUUUUAAGUGUUGUUUUGUUUAAAACAAUUGGAAGUCUGAAGUGCGUGUGUUUAUGGGAUUUUAAUCGUUAAAAGAUCACUGUGUUUUUUUUUUUUAAAGCUCGAAUGCAUGCUUGAUGAUAAGUGAUUCUGCCUGUCUUAUGUGUUUAAAUACUUGCUUAAAUAAAAGAAAACCACAUUUUAUUUCAAGAGCAAUGUGUGUUAAUCUAACUAAAAGAAAGAAAAGAAAUCAUUUAGCUGUGUCCUUUACUAGAAUAUGCAGUUGUUGUUCAGUUGUUCUAAGAUGUUGAGUCGGGUUAAGCUGAAAUGUUUUGCCCAAAAAUCCUAAGGAUGCUUGAGUUUGAAUAACUGCUAUAUUCAUAAUUUAUAAAUGUUGAGGAUCUAGUAGCCAUGACUGUCACACCUGUUACCCGAAGUAUGAUAUAUAAUUUUCAACAAUAAGCUGCCAAGGUUUCUCUUUGUCUGAAGUGUUGUGAACUUUGAGUUCUUUUCACUAUUCCUAUAUAUCCUAAGUUGUUGAUGGUAUAAACUCAUAAAGCAUGCUAAAAACUGUUGAUAUUUGUGAAAAUUCUUGGGCUGUAUAAUUCGGUAUAUUCUUAUCCUGAGAAUUCUUCAAAGUAUCCCAGGAAGAACUUGAUUGAAAGCUCUAAAGGCAGAUUUGCCCUGAUAUUGUGAAUUUUCAUGUAGAUUAAUUUGUGUGUAAAAAAUGUGAAUCUAAAAGGGCAAACCAGUAGCUCUUAUGAGUGUCUUUUAAAGAUCUUUAUUGAUUUGAGUAUGUGCCACAAAACCUACUGUUUUAGGAGCAAGUUACAAAGGUGUAGAGUUUUGUUUGAGUUUAUAGCAAACAUAUAAACUUUACUGUUUAGGACUUAGUGAGUUUCA